GAGCCUACGGGGCGCAGCAGUAGGGAAUCUUCCACAAUGGACGAAAGUCUGAUGGAGCAACGCCGCGUGAGUGAAGAAGGGUUUCGGCUCGUAAAGCUCUGUUGGUAGUGAAGAAAGAUAGAGGUAGUAACUGGCCUUUAUUUGACGGUAAUUACUUAGAAAGUCACGGCUAACUACGUGCCAGCAGCCGCGGUAAUACGUAGGUGGCAAGCGUUGUCCGGAUUUAUUGGGUGUAAAGGGUGCGUAGGCGGGAAAUUAAGUUAGUUGUGAAAUCCCUCGGCUUAACUGAGG
rnacentral:rRNA from 1 species